ensembl:lncRNA LINC03041 long intergenic non-protein coding RNA 3041
GCUUUGUGGGAGAGAGGUCUGUGUCUGGGCAAACAACCUGCUUGUAGAGGCUGGAAGAGGAAAAGGCCAAAGACACCUGAAAAGAAUGGGGCUUGGCCCCCAGCUAGACGCGAGAUGGCUCGUUUUCAGAGAACAAAGGAGAGGGAAGAAGAUAGGUGUUCCUUGAACAUCUACUAUGUGAGAAACACCACCCAGGGCACUGCACCUGCCUGUGUUGGAAAGAGGAUGCAACCAUCCCCAACAGGGAAGGGUGGAAAAUGCUGCACUGUGCAUGGGCUCACAAGGAAGAUACAUAAUGUACAGCCGAAUCUACAGUCUCCUAUUUUGUCAGCUGCUUGUGUUGAUUAAAACUUCAAUAAAGAUCCUGUGAUAAAACAGA